UACGUAGGGCGCAAGCGUUGUCCGGAAUUAUUGGGCGUAAAGAGCUCGUAGGCGGCUUGUCACGUCGGGUGUGAAAGCCCGGGGCUUAACCCCGGGUCUGCAUUCGAUACGGGCUAGCUAGAGUGUGGUAGGGGAGAUCGGAAUUCCUGGUGUAGCGGUGAAAUGCGCAGAUAUCUGGAGGAACACCGGUGGCGAAGGCGGCAUCCUGGACCGGCAUUGACGCUGAGGCGCGAAAGCCAGGGGAGCAAACGGG
rnacentral:rRNA from 1 species